UAGGGAAUAUUCCGCAAUGGGCGAAAGCUUGACGGAGCAACGCCGCGUGAGUGAUGAAGGUCUUCGGAUCGUAAAACUCUGUUAUUAGGGAAGAACGAAUGUGUAAGUAACUAUGCACCUCUUGACGGUACCUAAUCAGAAAGCCACGGCUAACUACGUGCCAGCAGCCGCGGUAAUACGUAGGUGGCAAGCGUUAUCCGGAAUUAUUGGGCGUAAAGCGCGCGUAGGCGGUUUUUUAAGUCUGAUGUGAAAGCCCACGGCUCAACCGUGGAGUGUCAUUGGAAACUGGAAAACUUGAGUGCAGAAGAGGAAAGUGGAAUUCCAUGUGUAGCGGUGAAAUGCGCAAAGAUAUGGAUGAACACCAGUGGCGAAGGCGACUUUCUUGUCUGUAAAUGACGCUGAUGUGCGAAAGCGUGGGGAUCAAACAGG
rnacentral:rRNA from 1 species